GAUGAACGCUGGCGGCGUGCUUAACACAUGCAAGUCGAACGAGAAGUGAAGACGGAAACCUUCGGGCGGAAGGCUUUAUUUCGAGUGGCGGACGGGUGAGUAACGCGUGGGUAACCUGCCUCAUACAGGGGGAUAACAGUUGGAAACGACUGUUAAUACCGCAUAAGACCACAGCACCGCAUGGUGCGGUGGUAAAAACUCCGGUGGUAUGAGAUGGACCCGCGUUCGAUUAGCCAGUUGGCGGGGUAACGGCCCACCAAAGCGACGAUCGAUAGCCGAUCUGAGAGGAUGACCGGCCACAUUGGGACUGAGACACGGCCCAAACUCCUACGGGAGGCAGCAGUGGGGAAUAUUGCACAAUGGGGGAAACCCUGAUGCAGCGACGCCGCGUGAGUGAAGAAGUAUUUCGGUAUGUAAAGCUCUAUCAGCAGGGAAGAAAAUGACGGUACCUGAGGAAGAAGCCCCGGCUAACUACGUG
rnacentral:rRNA from 1 species